ACUUGCUGUAAAGGAGAAAUGUUACAAAGAAAUACAAUUUAAAUAUUGGCGUCUUUUAUUGCGGUCGUAAAAUCAUUAAAAAAUAGUAAAAAGCUAUUUAGAUUUAAUUAAACGAGUAUUUAACCCUUAGUUGACUAAGAAAUAUUUUAAGUUUUAAAAAUUUGGUAUUUACCAAGUGAAACCAGGUCGAUCUCCAAAUCCCAAGAGAGUGUAGGCUUUCCACUUCCUCUACAUCCACCAACGUUUACUAGAUCGAAUACUCUUACUAUUUUCUUCAACAAUAGAUAAAAUAAGUCAGAUGAUGAGAGACCAUCUUGUUGGGUACCGUACGGCCCGGAAAGCUCCUCUUAAAUUCUGACUGCUGCUGCUCUUCUGCUGUUGUUCAGCGUCAGUUUACACAGUCGUAUAAGUUUUGCAAAAUCACCAAAUUCAGUCAUAGCGGCGUUAAGCGAUCGGCGCGGGAGUUACUUCCCCAUUUUUGAUGCCGCCAGUCCACUUAUUGCAACAAAACAGACCUUUCGCUUUUAAGAGCCACUGAGGGGAAAAUAAAGUUAAGAGGAAAGUAUAGCAUCUCUUGCCAAUCGAUCUUGAAAGCAUUGAGCGAAGCAAAGUCGCUUCGGAUGAUUAAGAGACUUCUUGAACCAAUUCCACGCCAUAAGCCUUCAUACCGAGGAUUUUAUGCAAAAACCCGGUCUAAAAAGUAUCAGUAGCAUUGAAAUUC
rnacentral:lncRNA from 1 species